rnacentral:lncRNA from 1 species
AGCGAUCUUUUAUUCCCCACGUUCAUGCACACCGCACUCUAUUCUUGCCUGGGCGUCUUUCUCGCUCACAGAUUUCCUGGAGAAUCUCUGUCUCCAGGGUCAGAGUUUUGCUUUCUGUUUCCAAAGCACCUUUCAGACACGGCAAUGGGCAGCAGCCGUCCUCCGAUUCCUUUCUACAUUCAGUAAACGACACAUUUGUCCCGAGUGUGUGUGUAUAUGAGAGAGAGAAAUAUACAGAUUCCAGGUCUCAGGCAGCAGGCAAAACAACAGGAGGUGAAAUCAACGUGGGGGCGCUCAGAAAAAAAGAAGCGCCAAACUAUGAAAAUGGUUUCCCGUGAGAGAAGGAAAUGGACUGAGGGGGAUGGAGGCGCUGUUUCCUUAAUAGAGAAUUCGACAGCUACUUAGCCCUUUCACUAGUGGAUGUAUAAACUGAAAGUCUGUGCCCGGCACCCCCCUGCAAUGCGUGGGUCCCGGGACCCUGCUCCUGGCAGCACUGGGUCCACAGCUCACACCCCCAGCCUGGGAGAGCCCCUCCUAUGCAGGCGGCCUGCGGCCCAGGGAAGGGCUACAAGGUCCUGCUUGAGGAAUGAGCCCCUGUCACUCCUGGCGUCCUCCUUCCCCCACCUCUGCUGCCUGGGCCCACGUAACACCGGGGUCCUGCUGCUCAUCGUCUUCCUUAGAUCUCAAGCCCAGGUUCGCCAGUUGCCACUGCCUGUUCUUGAGGGCUGCACGCCGGGUCCCCAGAGUUCACGUUUCCUUGUCCUGGGCUCCCAGGCAGCCCCUCCCUGGCCUGGCCCUACUCGGGCGGUUUCUCGGUGUUCCAGGUCACUCCAUGUGGGCAUCUGUGCCGUCAGUCUUGAUCACCUUAUUGGCGGGACUAAGGGGUGGCGGGACUAAGGGGUGGCGGGGCUGGGUUCUUAAAGCCACAGGCGGCCUGAGGCUUGUUUGCCGUCACCAUAGAAACCGCGUGCCCGCACUUGGGCGGGGCCUCCGGAGGGGCGUGGUCAGAGGGGGAGCCCCGCCCCC